GGGCAGCCUCGGAUGUUCCGUGCGCGAGGUAGAGCUACCGAUGGAGCUAGGGCGGGACCCCUCGUUCCGAACUCCGACGAACUCCGAAUGCGCGUACGCCAAAUCCGGGAGUGAGGCGCGGGGUGCAAAGGUCACGCGCCGAGAGGGGAACAACCCAGACCGCCUGCUAAGGCCCCCAAGUGCGGAUUGAGUCGGAAAAACGAGGUGCGGGCGCACAGACAGCCGGGACGUUAGCUUGGAAGCAGCUAUUCGUUUAAAGAGUGCGUAACAGCUCACCGGUCGAGCGCCCGCGCGCGGAUAAUAAACGGGCGUCAAAUCCGCCGCCGAAGCAGCGGGUCGGCGCAAGCCGACGGUAGGAGAGCGAUCCGCGCGCCGGGAAGCGGCGACCGCGAGGCGCCGUGGAGCGCGCGGAUGCGAAAAUGUAGGAAUGAGUAACGAU
rnacentral:rRNA from 1 species